rnacentral:rRNA from 1 species
AGAGUUUGAUUAUGGCUCAGGAUGAACGCUAGCUACAGGCUUAACACAUGCAAGUCGAGGGGAAACGACAUCGAAAGCUUGCUUUUGAUGGGCGUCGACCGGCGCACGGGUGAGUAACGCGUAUCCAACCUGCCCACCACUUGGGGAUAACCUUGCGAAAGUAAGACUAAUACCCAAUGAUAUCUCUAGAAGACAUCUGAAAGAGAUUAAAGAUUUAUCGGUGAUGGAUGGGGAUGCGUCUGAUUAGCUUGUUGGCGGGGUAACGGCCCACCAAGGCAACGAUCAGUAGGGGUUCUGAGAGGAAGGUCCCCCACAUUGGAACUGAGACACGGUCCAA